rnacentral:ncRNA from 1 species
GGUGCUCAAUGAACUGAAAAGAGAAUCCGGUCAAAGCCGGAGCGGUCACGCCACUGUAAGGGGAGCGAUGCUGCAAGAUGCCACUGGGGAAACUUUGGGAAGGCGCAGACAAAGCGAGGAACCGAGCCAGGAGAACUGCCUGUCUG